rnacentral:sRNA from 2 species
CUAUAUCUACUUGUCUACUUUAUUAAAACACUAUAUAAUUAAAAUAAAAUACUCGCAACGGUAGGCCCCAGCAGAUUGGCGCUUCCAGCCACCUUUUCCACCGCAAGAAGCUCAAAGAGCACUCCAGAGACACAAUGUUCUCACUUCUCGCACCCAUCUAUCAACCUUGAAAACCCCCUUGGAUAGCUCAGAACCACUUAAAGCGUUUACACAGCAGAAACACCCCAACGCACAAGUCCCUUGGCGAUGCUGUCGAUUUUGGCAUCUCUUUGGCAAGGUAGUUUACAAUGACGUCAGGAUGCACCCAGGCUUUGGGAUCCACCCUGAGACACUAAGAUUGUAGGAGAAGAAAAAACAGUAACCAUGCUCCUAAUAAGAUGAGAUUGUUUUUUGUUUCUUUGCAGAGACUUCACUCAUCGUGAGUUUUGUUAUUUAUUUACUUUGAGAUCAGCAUUUGAUAUAUCUAAAGGCCAAUAAGAUCCCCAUAUUAAAUCCGCGCCUGAACUUGUUUAGAAAAAUCUAGAUAGAUUCGCUGAAGGAAUUUAUAUUCAAGAACGAGAAUAUCAUAUUAUGAUACCUGGCUUAUUUCAAUCGCCCUUGGCAAGAUCUAGUAGAUGCAAUGAAUAUUAACCUCGGAACGCCAUUGGAACACCUGGUCGACAAAAAAGAUUACCGCUCUAUAGGCAACCUAAAAUUUUGGCAUUACUCCUGCAUCCCGAUAGUCCAUCCAUCUAUUUGCUUAGACC